CAAAUACUUUCUCCGUCCAACAAAAAAUGUCUCAACUUAGAUCAAAUUUGAAUGCAUUUAUUCACUAAGUCAUGUCUAGAUACAUCUAAAUUUUGAUAAAUUUGAGACAUCUUUUGUUGGACGGAUGGAGUAUCUG
rfam:Brachypodium distachyon strain Bd21 chromosome 1, whole genome shotgun sequence.